CUACUUUGUGGUGUGCUUUUAAUACUAUCAAUUGUAGGUUAGUUGAAAUUGAAGUUGGUUGAAAUUGAUUAAAAUUUUGGUAGAAUUUGGGAACUGGAAAUUUUAGUUGAAAUUGAAGUUGGUAGAAUUUGGGAACUGAAAAUUUUUGGUUGAAACUUUGAUGUUGGUUGAAAUUGAAGUUGAAGCAAAUAACAUGGAUAUUUUUUUAUAUAUCACCAGUUGUUUUAUCUCUUUUUUUUAAUUAUUCUAUUUUUUAGUCCGACAUUGCACCAAACGCUUCACUAAGUCAGUCUAGCUUAGUCUAGUCUAAGCCAGUCCAGCUUAGUCCCUGAAGUUAAUCCACUCCGAGAUAGUCUGGUGCAACAAACGCACCCUAAAGGGACAAUUGCUCACCCCCAAAAUCUAACCACACAUACCGAUAUUCAAAGAAAACAGAACAUUAUCUUCUUCAACUUCAAGUAAUCUAUUAAAUAGGUUUGGUUAGUGCUGGACAAAGCUGCCGAUAGAUACCAAAACGUUGAUAUCAAAUAUUUUUAUUUUCGGGCUAAUUGAAAAAAUUCUGGUAUGUAAAUAUCAUAGGGCGCCACAGGUAUUGUUGUAUUAUUGCUGCUGCCUGCAAUAAGAGUUGUCCAUUUAUCAUAACAGACAAAGGAAAGAAAGCGAUAAUGCAAGAAAGUGAAGUGACAUUUAUCUGCAAAUAGAAAGGGAUCCAAAUCAAGAAACUGCCCUCAAAAUUUAUAAUAAUUCAUCUUUAUCUUCCUCCUUUUUUGGGUUAAAAAAUUAACCUCUAUCUUGUUCUAUAACAAAGUUAAGAUGAUAACAAUCCAAUUACCACUCAUUCCAUUAAUUUUUCUCCUGCUUUGCUUUUUUGCAGUGUCAAUUAACAAGAGAAUGAAAAAGAUCAAAAGAGAAAUUAAACUAUAUAUAUAUAUAUAUAUAUGCAUAUGUCUAAAGUACAAAUAUCUUUCUUUGAUGUCUGGUUUUCUCCUGUUGCAGAUGUACAUCUUCAAAAACAUUAGUGUUGCGAGAGCCACGCCUACUAGUGUUAGCAUUACUACUCUUAGUAAGGCUGCAACGAUAUAGGCCACGCCUAUAGGAUGUUAUCAUUUGCUUGGUAGAAGCCUCUAAUUCCUUCAUGUCAUCAAUAACAAUCUGUCUGUUCCUGCACUCUAUGCUGCAAAAACCUAGAUCACCUCUGCAUUCAAAAUUGUAAACGAUCUCAGUAACUAAUCAAUAUAUAUCAGAAUCAUAAUAUAAACUCCUAAAAAUUAAAAUUCUGGUGGUAGAAAUAUUUUAUACGACAAAGUAUAUAUGCAUCACUCAGCUAAAAACAUUUCAGAAUGAAAUAUGAAGUUACCAGCUUAAGAUGGAGAGUUUUUCCCUUUAUUCUUAGAAGAAUAUAAUCAUAGAGAGAAACGAUUUCUAGACGCCCUAUUUUCUUCUAGCCUUUGGGUUGAAUUAAAUAUUCUGUAAAUUAAUUUUUACCUGUACAUGUAGACCUCUCUAUCAAGGCUUAAUCCCUUGUUGCAUAAGUGACAUGUUUUAAGAAAGCAAGAGAAUUGCUCGAGGGAGCUGCAGGUUGUGGAUUGGCUCAGUCUUAAUGCAGAUUUCUCAAUGAUAUUUGUCUUAUUUCUUUGUGAAUUCUGUACAAGGAUUCCCAAUCCAACAGCCACUGAGCUCCCAUGGCUGGUUUUAUCACUGAUGCCCAGCUUAUGGGCAGCUGGCUCGAUCAAGUUGCAGGGCCUCUUGAACUUGGAAACCAUCGUUUGUGGGGGGGUUAGAGAGAAGAAGACGAAAACUGAAGAGGGCUGUGAAGAAGAAAACUGAAGAGGGAUGUGAAGUUUACAAGGUUGAGAUAUUAGAUAUUUAAAAGCACCAUACAACUUAUACAAGUCUUCCGUCCACACAGAAGAUAUAUAAUAUUUAUAGGAGAUGGAUCCCAUCGUAAGGAUCCUCUCAUCCUAACCGUUUAUCGUACAUCAUGCAGUCAUAAAUCAUUUUGAAUUUAUUUAUUUAAAAUUAAACACAAAUAAUACAUAACGAAAAUUGAACGUAUGAUAUAUAAUGAACGGUCAUAAUAUAAAGAUUCUUAAGAUUCCCAUAAAGAGGAUCGAAGAGAAAUCUCAUCUAUAUUUAUAUAAAAAUAAAAAAAUAUACAGACACAUGUAAACUGCUUUGCUUUUGUUAAUGGGAUUGUGCCACGUGCUGCACUUUUGGUUGCUCUCUGAUCUAUCUUUUACCGCGUCUGCAUUCCCUUGUAGGGUUUAAAGCAAUAGUUAAAGUUAGAAUUGGGGUUUGAGUUUUGGAGUUGAAAUGCAUUAUUGACACCCUUUGCUUGUUUGGCCCUACCAUAAAACGAGGGAAGUUUUUGUUUGGUGCAACAUGAGAAACGUGAUAAUUGUGAAAUAAGUACCCUUAAUAAAAAAAUUCACUUUCCCUGUCACCCCCACCAAUUCAUGAAGUAUGCAACUCCACUACAGAAGUUUAAAAAAAAAAUUAGCUUGUUUUGGAAAUACAAUGAAUAAGCAAUCUCAUUUUAUUAUAUAAUAGUCCUUUAAGACAACGGUUUAGGGAUAUGCAUUUUUACUUGUAAAUAAAAGGUCUUACAUUCGAAUCUCAUGAAUGGUAAGUUAAAAACCAAUUUAUUUCUUCAUUCGUUAGUGUAAAUACAUAGUUGGAUCAAAAAUAUAUAUUAUAACGUAGGUAUAUAAGACCAAAGUAAAUUAAAAUUAUUCUCCCCGAUCGAACAUUGGAAAAUUUCUAUCAUUAUGCCUUUGCAAUGUUACUUGGUUUAACUCUAUUUGUUGGCAGAGGGAAAAAAGUAUCAACAAAAAGAAAAGGAAAGCCUAUUUCUAGCUAGGAGUUUAUAUAAAUAACUAGGGUUGGCACAUUGAUUUUGAAAUUAAAUAUGAAACAUUUUUAAAUGGAGUAAUUAGGUUUUCAUCCUUAUUUUUACUACUCUAUUGAUUAAAACCUUAUUACUUUUCAAUUUUUGAUCAAGGUCCUUUGUAUUAAUAAUAUCAUUAAUUAUUUCAAUAAUAAAAUAUUUUUUAUUUCUAAAUAUAUUCAUUUAAUAUUAAAAAUAUUACAAUUAGUAUAUUUAUAUUUAUGGCUAAAUUUUUUAUCAUAUAUUUUUAUUUUUAGUUUGUACCCAUUUUUAAUUUGCAACCCUUUUUUAAUUUGUACCAAUUUUCCUUUCAGUUUUAAUUUGUACCCAUAUAUUAAUUUCUUUUUGUGCCCAUAUUUUUUAAAGUUUUAUUUGUAUUGUACCCAUAUUUUUUUAUUUAUUUGUACCCAUUUUUAUUUUUGCUAAAUGUACCCAUUUUGAAGAAUGUACCCAUGUUUUGAUACAAUAAUUUUUUGGUUAUUUUUUAUGAAUGUACCCAUGUUUACACACACACACACAAUAGUAUAUUUAUAUUUUAAUAUUUUUAAUCCCACAAAUUAUGGUUUUUUAUUUAAAAUGACACACCCCGUCCCGAAGGAGGGCAUGUUGGCCGUCACGUGAGAGUGACGUAACCAUUUGCACAGUACGGAAGCUUUAAGAUACAAUUUAAAUUGAUACACCCGAAGGUGAGUCCUAAUUUUGUCCAAUCUGUCAGAACACCGUCGAAUUCCUCGUAGUCACCACACCUUUGUGAUUCCUGAACCUGGAGGGGCGCAAAACCAAAAUUGAGUGGGUCAGUAAAACAAUUCUUUUCCAAAUCCAAACAUUUCUCAAAACGUUGUAACCCCUCUCCGUAAAACCUGUAUACUUUCCCAGAAAUGUAAAAUAUAAAUAUACAUAUAUAUUCUCAAACUUCAUUUUUACUAUCUCAACAUUUUUCUUUAUCAAUCAUGCCAUGCCAUGUCAUCUCAACAUUUCUCAUAUUAAUUAUGCCAUGCCACAUCAUCUCAACAGUAAUAAGGUAUGAAUGCAUCAACAUAAUCAUAUCAGGUGCAAGAAAGUAAUCAACCGUAGGCCCUCUAAUAGCCCUAUACGGUUGAACCUAGAGCUCAAAAUCUAUCAUUAUCACUCUACCGGAGUCACCUCUGUGACCCGUCCGGCCUUCUGCACACAAGUUACGCUCUAGUGCUUCUCAUAAAUCAUCUGUGCACAUAAUCUAAGGUCACCCACCAGUCGGAAUCUCACUAACACUCUCGCGACUGGUCUGUCGUACCCACUCCGCGUGGACUGUACGACUAGCAUCUACUUGGAUCCAAGGCGAGCGUGCGAUGCGGUGAAUACUAUAAGCACUAAACCAUGGUGCAGGAUUUGAGCUCAAUAUAUAUCAUCAUCAUCAUAACAGUAAUUAAAUAUUCAUCUGUGCGUCCACCGCACCAUUUCAUACAUAUGCAUCAUAAAUCAAUUCUUACCUGUGCGUCCACCGCACCAAUUCAUACAUAUGCAUCAUAUAUUAAUUCAUGCAUGGCAUUUCAACUCACAUUUCUAUAUACUUUUCAUAUCAAUUCUAUGCAUGGUAUUUCACUUCCCGUUUUUCCACAUAACUCAUAUGCAUUUCAUUUUAAACAUAAUUUCAUGCAUUUUCAAUUUCUGGGAAAACGUUAAGUAUAUAUAUAUAUAUACGGAAAACAAAACUGCCCACUCACCUGGAGUUCGUCCAACAACUCCCUAGCACCACACAUCAAGGCGUCAUGACGAUCGCCGCCUAGAAUAGUAAUCAAAUCCAGGCUCAGAAUUCAUAUCGAUAGAAUACAUAACUUAUAUAAAAUACGUCACUACGUUGAUCGAUCCGGAAGAUCUGCCACUCAGAUUUUAAAUCCAUAACUUCCAAAGGUCCACACUAUACCUCUAGGACAACAUCCUAAAAUUUCAUUACCAUCCAACGGUCGGAUCUCCGUCAAUUUCCAAAACUAAGUGACGGUUAACAUUUUAUAUUAUGGACUUACAAUUCCAAUUCCGGAAGAUCCGUAACUCGGAUUCCCAAUCCGUAAGUUCCAAUAAUCCUCAAAUAUUACGUAUUACAACGUAUCAAAGUUUGGUGACGAUCCAACGGUCGGAUCAUCAAUUCACAUUUUCACCUAAAUGUGAAAACUAUAAAACGUUAUUUGAACACCUAACCAACAAUCUUCAAUAACUUUCUCAUACGGUGUACAAUUUAGGUAUAUGAAUAUACCACAGUGAUCUACUCGACGUCACGGACGUCGACAUAUUUUUAAAAUAAUUUUAUUUUUAUUUUUUAUUUUUACUGUAGCACCUUCUUCUUCCUUGGGUCGCCGGACUGGUUUUUCCGGCGGCCGUUUUCUGGGCAGUUUUUCAAAUUGCUAUAACUUUGUCAUUUCUCAACGAAAUCAAGUGAUUCAAAAACGAAAGUUGUAGCCCUUGAAGAGACAAAGAGAAUUGUACCUUGCACAACACCUAGUUCGCCGUAGUUUGGCCGGAAACUGCCUCGAAAGCCUCGGAGGUCGCCGGAAACUGGGUAUUUUUCAAAUGAGUAUAACUUCUUCAAUACUCAACGAAAUUGAGUGAAAAAAAAAGGAAAGUUGUAGUACUUGACGAGACGAAGAGAUUGAUACCUACCUCGACUCCUAAAUCGCCGGAGAUUCGCCGGAAAAUGCCUCGAAAGCUCCGGCCAAACUUUGAACUUGUCGAUCUCCGUGUUUUUACGUCCAAAAACUUCCAACGAAGCACUCCGAGCUUCCUUGGGACCUCACUAAGCUCGCUGUGAUCUUGUUUUAGCCUAAAUCGUAACCAUUUAAAAGAUCAUGAACAGUACCAUUUCACGGGAACUUUGAAACUAGGGUUUUUCGAAGCAAAACUUACCUGAAAUUGGUGUCUACGUGAUCGUGGAAGUUCCAGGAGUCCAAAUGUGGUCUUAUCUUGGACGUUUGUUUAUGUUUUAGGUGGUUUUGGGUGAGGUUGAGCGUCGGAGAGGAAGAGAGAGAACUGAGAGUGAGAGAGAGUCGUGAGGGAAGAGAGAUAGAGAGACAAGGUACGGGAAUUGGGGAAGGUUUUGAGGGAUGUGGGGAUCCCACGUGUCCAACUCAAUCCAAAUUGUUAAAUUUUCGCCCCUUAGUCCCGUUUAAGGGCAUUUUCGUCUUUUCAUGUCCUCAGAAUUAAAAUUCCGGGACGGGCUGUGACAAUCUUCCCUCCUUAUAGAAUUUCGUCCCCGAAAUUCCAGCAACCAACUAAAUCAACCAUACUCCAACAAUAGCUUCGGGUAAAUCUUUCUCAUCCGAUUCUCUUUCUCCCACAUACUUUUCUACUGAAUGAUUUCCUUCACAAAGCUUUACUACUUACUCUGUCUUAAUUCUCAGGACCUUCUUUUUCCAAUCCAAAGUCGUCCUUGGUUCCUUAUCAAGUCGAAUCCAAUUUAAUUCUCAAUAGUUACACCAUAAUCCCAUGUGACAAAUCUGCCACCUAGUGACAACGCAUCGAACACAAAAUACAUUAUGUGCCUUAGCCAAUUCUGAAGGCAUCACAAACUUGUAUGCAGCUUCAUCGAUUCUUUUAAUGAUCAAAACGGUCUGAUGUGUUUAAAUCUUAUCUUGUCUCUUUUCCAAUUCUCUUCAUUUCUGUUCGUGGUGAAUUUUCCAAAAAUAUCAAACCAUUUACCUUACACACACUCGAUUAGUGGCAUAUCCAUCUGUUGAUCUCUUUUGCCAUUCCUGGUUACUUCAGGUUAACUUAAUCACCUGAAUACUUUGAGGAGACUCAUCCAUAGUCUCAGGGUCUACUAAAACUCUUUCUUGAUCGAAUCUUUCUCUACCCAGAAACAUUCCAUUCACAAGUCAUCAAAAACCGACUCACGUGACACAUUUCAUGGUCCUUAUGGCGUUACUUCGGAAACUGCACAACCAACAUACUUAAGAAACUUAGCAGUUCCGUAAUCCAAUUCUCUUUUCCAUAAAACAAAUAAGUAGUGUUGCACUGUCUGGGAAAGGUUGUUACUCAACACUGGGGUAAAUGUACUAACUUGUUACUUAACAAGUAUAACUUCUUCUCGAUCUUCCAUUCUUAAUUUUUCUUCCGUUGGUUUUCAAUCCACAAAAUGAUACUCUUGGCAAACGUGCCAGAUAUUAAUCUUACUGUAGUCUUCUCACCAAGUGCUUCAGCUAGAACAAACUUUACGAUCACCCUGAUCGUACAAUCAUGUUCAUUAAGCAAUACAAUUCACUUUCGCUGCCUCAUAUCAAAUUCCUUCCAAGUAAUGGAUAUUGAAGACUUUUUGGAUUCGUAAAAAAAAAUCUUGCAUUCCCACUAAAAUAUAAUGUCUCCAUAACUUCACAGCAAGAAUGGUAAUCGUGACUUCCAAAUCACCAGUAGGGUAAUUCAUCUUAUGAGAUUCCAUUUAUCGUGAAACGUAUGCAAUCACCCUAACAUUUGCAUCAACAUGCCUCCAAUACCAUUCAAGAAACAUCACUAAAAAUUUAUGAUUACCACUAUUCUCUGGGAAUACCAAAAUACGUGCAUGAGUGAGGAAAUACUUCAGUUGUUGAAUCCUUUGCUUACAAUUCCUUCCCACUCAUACCUAACCUCUUUUCUCAACAGUCUCGUCAAUGACAAAGCAAUGACUGAAAAAUCUUUCACAACCAUCCAAGAUAGCCUGGUAAGCUAAGAAAUUCCAAAUCUCAAUUACGACUCGUGGUUGUUCCAAAUUUUAAUUUCUGUUACCUUUUAAGGAUUCACUUGAAUACCUUAAGAAUAUAUAACAUAUCCCAGAAAUGCUGCUUGAUUCAUCCAACAUUCGCAUUUGCUAAACUUAGCAUACAAUCGACAUUCUUCCAAUCUUUGUUCUACCGACUUAAUACGUUUACAUGCUCUGCUCUGGCUCAGAAUAUGCCAGAAUAUCUUCAAUGAAAAUGAUAUCAAUUAUCAAGGCAUUAUUGGAAUACUUCAUCCAUCAACUCAUAAAACCGCAUGAGUAUCCACAUAGCAUCACCAAAACUUUAUAAGGACCAUAACAAGUCCAGAAACCAUCUUAUGAUCAACGUCACUUAUAAUAUUCAAUUGGUAGUAACCAGAUCUCAAUUCAAUCUUUGAAUCUUCGCAAUUACUUCUGAGCUGGUUAAAUAAACAUCAGUACAUCACCAUGGAUAACGGUUCUCAAUCGUUACCCGACUCCAUUGUCUAUAAUCAAUGAACAGUCUCAAGAUCCAUUUUCUUCCUCACCAACAAACUGGGGCUCCUCAAAAGUGUUGUACUAGGUUGAAUAAAACUUUUAUCAACCAAUUCCCUCAACUGAAUUUCCAAUUCCCUUAACUCAUCAUGAACCAAUCUCCAAUAUAAAUUUAUACCUGGCAACAAAUCAAUAGUGAACCUCAUAUCUCUGCCUGAAGGCAAUCCAGGUAUACUUUCAGGGAAGACAUCAAGAAAAGUCUAACUCUUUCGACAUUAUUCACACUACUCCAAACAACAUCAUUUAGCACCACAUGAGCUAAGUAUUUUUGACAGCCUUUCGAAAACAAUCUCUUUGCUCUCACAGCAUAAAUAAUGACUGAACUCAAUCCACUUUGCAUACUUACAAAAGUAAUCUCUGGUCAUCCAGAUCGAUGGAAAGUACUGGUUUCCCAUAACAUUUCGUCUUGUCACAAUUAUAACCAACCAAUCUAAUGGAACAGAAUUAACUGAUACAAUAUAUAUUCUAUUAUUAUUAAGCAUUCCAAAUAAGUACAAUACUAACAUAAAAUAAUCUACCGGUUUACUUACUUAACGAAUCCACGAAUGAGUUAUUAAUAUUACGGUCUGCAGCCCGCAAUACUGAUAAAUCAUCGUUGUCUCGAUAAGUAGGCAACCACUCACAAAGAUAUAACAUUACUAUUUUGUCACUCAAUGCAAAAUACAUACACUCGUCUCAACUACAUUUAUUUACUACUCUCUAGGUAAUAACAUACAUAAUAAGAAAUAUAUCAGCCGAAGUCAACUAGAAUGACCAAUACGGCUGAUUCAACUCUUAUCUCAAUAAUACGUCGGCCGGAUCCACUCCGCGUGGUCGGUACGGCCGAGCCUAUAACUCACCAAUUUCUCAUGUGUCAAUCGAAUCCACUUCUCAUGGUCUGUACGGCUGAACAUAUAACUCAUCAAAUCUCUCUGUACUCACGGUCAAUCCGACCAAACUACUAAAUCCAUAACUCUGCUGAAUCAACACUAUGAUGUCAUAGAAAACUGUUGGGUACAACUGAUUCUAGGGACGAUUCACAAUUCUGUGUCCCCUCUGUUCACAUAAACACAUUCAUUAAUUUCACACUUCCCAAAGUGUUAAUUUUGUACCUGCUGCACAAGGUACAUUUCCUUUACUCGAGACACCUUGUCUCAAAUAUCUGGGAUUACUAGUAUAUCCAUCACUUUUACUCUGACCAGCGACAUUAAAACCUCAGCUGGAAGAAUUAACUCUAGCUUCACUUCUUUCGAAGCUCUGAAUCUUUCUAUAUCCUUGAUAUGACGAAUCAUUAACUUUAUCGUCUUCUUUUAAUUCCCAUUCAUUUCUUAUUCUUCUUUAUUCUCGUUGCUCAUGUUCUCAGAGUCCUCAAGACUCAACAGCAUCUCGUAUAUUCCUGGUAAGAAGUAUAAUGGAUAGUGGUCACCCAAAAUACCACUUCCCUUUUUGCCACCCAGCUUAAAACAACAUAACACCUCCACCAAAUUAACAACAAUAUCUGGAUGGAACGAGGCAAGUCUGAAAACUUUCUAUAAUAUCCCUCGAUCAUCACCUUCCUUGUCUCAUAUUUGUAAACUCUUGUUUACUACCAUCGAUAAAUGUCGGAGGGAUAAACUUUUCCUUAAACAAGUCCUUAAACAAUUUUAAAUCGGCUGAUUCCUCUGGUGACAACAAUUAAUACUCCUGCUUCCAUCAGGAUACACGUUCAUAACUCAAACCAGGUAGUCAUCUCGACCCCUUGUCAGAAGGAAGAUUCCUUUGACUUGCAUAAUCCGAAACAUCUUUUCCAAAUGGUUAAACCGUUACUUCGCUCCCUCAGGUUCAUCAUUUCUCUUAAGUGAUUCAAAUUCAACUCAUAACCCGUCUUAAAAUGUCCAUUUUUCUAAUAUACUGAAUCACCAUAAGAAUAGUUUCCCCUAACCCGCUAAAUCAGGGAGACUAAGUUCCUCUAACUACGUGGUUUGCUACGAGGCGGUGUAGUUCUGACAGAAUUCACUAGAAACUUCUCAAGAUGUCCAAGAUUGCAACCAUGCUCUGAUACCAACUGACACACCCCGUCCCGAAGGAGGGCAUGUUGGCCGUCACGUGAGAGUGACGUAACCAUUUGCACAGUACGGAAGCUUUAAGAUACAAUUUAAAUUGAUACACCCGAAGGUGAGUCCUAAUUUUGUCCAAUCUGUCAGAACACCGUCGAAUUCCUCGUAGUCACCACACCUUUGUGAUUCCUGAACCUGGAGGGGGCGCAAAACCAAAAUUGAGUGGGUCAGUAAAACAAUUCUUUUUCCAAAUCCAAACAUUUCUCAAAACGUUGUAACCCCUCUCCGUAAAACCUGUAUACUUUCCCAGAAAUGUAAAAUAUAAAUAUACAUAUAUAUUCUCAAACUUCAUUUUUACUAUCUCAACAUUUUUCUUUAUCAAUCAUGCCAUGCCAUGUCAUCUCAACAUUUCUCAUAUUAAUUAUGCCAUGCCACAUCAUCUCAACAGUAAUAAGGUAUGAAUGCAUCAACAUAAUCAUAUCAG
rnacentral:lncRNA from 1 species